rfam:Myotis brandtii contig268549, whole genome shotgun sequence.
GAAAGACCCCUAUGGAGCAGGACUUGCUUUAGUGGGGCUUUGGUGCUCACUAAGUCUGCCCCUUGAAUGUAUCACU